rnacentral:tRNA from 1 species
GCCGGGGUAGCUCAGUUGGUAGAGCGGCGGUUUCGUAAACCGCAGGUCGCCGGUUCAAGCCCGGCCCCCGGCUCCA